AAAGACCCAAUGGAGCAAAUGGGGCUUGAGCUAAGCUUUGGAAGACACUAGGGAUGAGACGUUAAUGAAGCAUUCAUCUCUUCUUCAUCAAAAAGGAUAACAGUGGAACAUACAAGCUGUUUGGCAAGGAAAAUACUUAGAGGAAACAUGGGAACAAGAUCACAGAUCUCAAAUGAGGAAACUGAGGCAGAUGGAGAUUACGUGACUUUCUCAGAUUUGAAUUCAAGUUGUCCUGACUCCAAGCCCAGCACUUUAGCCACUGCAAUGCCUAGCUGCCUAAAGGAGAAACUGGAAUAGUGUGUGUAAAGGAGUUUGGGGA